AGUGAACGCUGGCGGUAGGCCUAACACAUGCCAGUCGAACGGCAGCACAGUAAGAGCUUGCUCUUACGGGUGGCGAGUGGCGGACGGGUGAGGAAUACAUCGGACUCUACUUUUUCGUGGGGGAUAACGUAGGGAAACUUACGCUAAUAUCGCAUACGACCUACGGGUGAAAGCAGGGGAUCUUCGGACCUUGCGCGAUUGAAUGAGCCGAUGUCGGACUAGCUAGUUGGCGGGGUAAAGGCCCACCAAGGCGACGAUCCGUAGCUGGUCUGAGAGGAUGAUCGGCCACACUGGAACUGAGACACGGUCCAGACUCCUACGGGAGGCAGCAGUGGGGAAUAUUGGACAAUGGGCGCAAGCCUGGUCCAGCCAUACCGCGUGGGUGGAGAAGGCCUUCGGGUUGUAAAGCCCUUUUGUUGGGAAAGAAAAGCAGCAGGUUAAUACCCCGCUGUUCUGACGGUACCCAAAGAAUAAGCACCGGCUAACUUCGUG
rnacentral:rRNA from 1 species